GGGAAGUUAUGUGAAUACGAUUGCUCUCAUCACCUCGACACAGACGAACGGGACAGUUAAUACGUCGACAACGAAAAAGUCAAGAUGUAUCGAUCCGUGCUGGUCCUCUCGCUCGUUCUUGUCUUCACUGAGUCUGCGUAUAUCCCGUAUCGACGCAGCGUUCGCCCGUCCACAUGUGCCUCUGUUCCACCCCCAGCCCGAGAGGCCUGUAAUGGAAACCCUGCUAUUCAAUUCCUAUGCCCUAGUAGCUGUUGUUGGGAUGACGUCAUAGACCCCGCCAUUCCCAAGUGCUACCAGACAACUGACCCGUGUAGCAAAGACCUCUCCCUCAUGGAAGUUGUGGACGUACCGAAGGCUGGAUGCAUUUUGAUGGGGAAUUGCUUUGAAAACAACAAAUGCUACCAGCAUUCCUAACUCAGAGUCGACAAUCUACUGUAUGCUGUAUGCUGCUUUUAUCUUUUAUUGUGUAAAAAGGCAUUUGGUGCAACCUCAUAGAUCAUUAGUGAAGCAAGUAAAACUCUUCAGCGACGACCAGUGAACUAUUUAUUGUUCAUUCUUGGUGACAGUGAGUGUGUAUUCGCAAAGAACAUCUCCUUCUUGAUUCUAGAAACAAAUAUCAGUAAUGAAUCUAGAAAAUGAUAGUAUGCCGUUGGUGUUAUCUGUUUGUAUUGUCUAAAUCUACAAAACUCGUCAAAUAAAGGCUAUAUAUAUCUUA